CACUGUAUCACCGCAUGCAUCUCUGCUCACUCAGACCACACCCCCAUGAGUCGGAUGCAACACUCUAGUGAUGGAGAUGUAGAGUUUUAUAAGUAAUGAGGGCUUUACUUUAUAAGUAAAGCAGACUAAGGUGAUUAGAACUCAAUGGAAUGUCAAGUCUGUAAAUCUUUAAACCAUGAAGAUGGUUGGAUAGUUCAGGAAUUGGGCUUCUUUUUAUUAUGGGCAGUCCUUUCACUCGGAUGCUCACUGGAGCUGUACAUGUGUUGGCUGGCUCGCAUGAUUUGCUGUUGGUGAUGAGGCGGUCAGGGUGACGUUGCAGGGCUAUGGUCGGCUCUCUGUGAGCUCAACGUUUAGAUUUGCUCUGUAUGUUUUUGUACCCUGAAUAAUCUAGAUAAUUGUAAAAUGUAGACACGGUUUUAUAUUGAAUGAUUCCAGGAUUUUAGGUUUAAAGUUGUUGUGGGACCUACAUGGUAGUUUGGUUCUUCGUAUGGUUUUGAGUGAUAUAACUUGUACACACUGGGUGCAUAAUAAUGUAAAGGCACACUGAAUAGUAGUAAUUACCAACAGCAACAAACAGAUCUCCUCAAAGUAAGUCUGUUGGCUGUGUUUUAAUGAAGACCAUCGCUGGACUUCAGGAUCUUCCUCCGUUCAGCUCAAGGUGAGGCGCUGGUUCUGUUUUUCUUUGGUUGGUUCCGGCCGGAAUGUUCGGAUUCCAGUCGGACGGUUUGUGCUUCCCGCCGUGGAAGGUUCUGAGUGCGGUCACUUCAUUUAGUCUGAAUGGUUAGCAUAGAACGUUGUAGUCUUGAUAACCAUAAGAAACCACCUGGCAGUUAGUUGGACGGGAGUCCCCUGAGGGAAUCUGGCGGAACGUUCUGGAUUGUAUUUGCGUAACCUCGAUCCGUUGCGAACAAACUAUUUUUCAGUCGGUUUCCAUUGGGAAUUGUUGCCCCCUAUCUUAAACAACUUAAGUUUGAUAUUAAAUACAUACGGACACGCACGUCGUGCAAUAUGUUGAUAAUUUCCGAUGGUUGCGCCGUACUUUUAACCACGAUGACGUUGCGGGACUCUCACUGCGUACAAAACGGCGUUCUACUUGCGGGCCCAUUUUUUACAUCAGGGAAGGCUGAAAAUCAUUUCAAGGUGGAAGAUAAUUUGACAUUUCUUCAACGGAACCCAGCACCUGAAUAUGGCUGAGUAUAUUUGAUUUAAUAUCGAUACUGCUUAGUGUUCUUUGUUACUUCAGCUUUUGUACGUCCUAAAUAUCUGCUGUCAUUAAUUGCCACAGAAGUUAAACCCUACCCAAUGGAAUGACGUUAAACAACGACUUUGGUGCAGAGUUACAGACUGGAUAAUAUCAAUGCUAAAAUAAUGGCCGUAAUUCACACAUGUUACAGUAGAAGAUACUCUAGAACUGUACAAGGUUAAAAAGGUAACAUGUAGUUUGUCCCAAGGUGUCUGCCUCCUCACCCAGAGCAAGGCCUCCACCUCCUCACCCAGAGCCAGACCUCCACCUCCUGUCAGAAGUCCUCCAGAACAGCUGAAAGGCGAGGCUGAGAGGCUGGGGACCGGAAGCUUGUGGUGCCAGGGUGAACCGGAGACUGAGGCUGGAGACCAGAGACCUGCGGCACUGGACCAGAGGGUAACCAUCGACAAGCUCAUCUGAAACACUAAAAUCCACGACCAGGAAUCCAUGGCUGAAGGAGCUGAUGGAGGAGCCGAGCUGAUGGAGGAGUCGUGCUGAAGGCCCUGCCUUGUGGAGGAGCUGGUGGAGGCCCUGCCUGGUGAAGGACGUCUGUCGUGGGACCAGGACUCUGUCUGAGGAGAGCUGCUGGAGGAGCUGAGACGCUGGAGGACGACUAGGAAUCGACCAACAAGGAUUCCUCAACGUGUUUCUGGAGCGGAGGCGAGCUGGUAGGGGAGCUAUGAAUCUGGAGGAUGACCAUCACUCUACCAACAAGGAUUACUUUAGGGCCAGACCCGCGCUGUUUGUUCAAGACCAGGACUCUGGCUGAGGAGAGCUGAUGGAGGAGCCAAGACUCUGGAGGACGACAUCACUCCGCCAACCAGGAUCCUCACACACCUGAGCUGAACCUCAGCUGAUCCUGUUUGGUCGGGGGUAGACACACCUGAGCUAAACCCGCCCUGAUCCUGACAUCCUUCUGGUCCCGUCUCCUCAGUUCAUCUGAGCCUCGUCCUCCAGAAGACCUGCUGAGCUCAGCUGUCUGAGGCUGAUGGAUCAAUGACCUCCAGUGGGAGUGAUCUUCUUGACCCCACAUGUAACCGUGUGCUUCCACACGCCUUUUCCUCACGUCUGUCACUAACCUCACUGCUUCACUACUCUCUACUACUUCCUCUUUUCUUCCUUCUCUGUGGUUCAAACCUUUACACUGAAGGCGCGUCUUCCUGCCCUCAGAGGGUUUAGUGUUAGGGUUGAGAGUCAGGGUUUAGAGUCAGGGACAGAGCUGGUCAGGGAGGACUGCUUUUACACAAACCUCUUCACUUGCUUUCGGAAUGGUGGUGACAUUUUGAAAAGAUUCAUUUGGGAAAAUGUUUUCCUCUGCUUUCCUUUAAAAAAAAAAUGUAAACUUCUGACAAGUGUUUUUGUUUAUAUAAUAAAAUAACACA